CUGCGACCCACACGCCCUCCAUGCCGUCGGAGUAGAGCACGGCGGUGGCAGCUUUCAGUGAGCGGCGCAACUCCCUUCCUCCCUGCUCUUUCUCCCUCGCUCUCGUGACCUCCAUGCAUCUGGAGAUGGAGACAACGACGCGGCUCCGACGAGUAUGUUUUUCAGGUGAUGUUGCAGUAGGAUAGGGUUCUGGCAAGCUCUCGGAUUCAGAUCUCGUCAUUAUUGCAAUGGUUCUAUCUAGACGUUGCAAUAGGUUUUAGUCGUUGUUGCAGUUUUGUGUUUUGAGAUGUUGUUUCAGUUGCUUCAGUCUGCAUGUUGUAGUAGUUUGUUUUAUGUUGUUACAACAUUUGUUCGGUGUUGUUGUAGUACUAU